CUGAGGCAGGCUGCCCGUCUCUGGUGUGUGCUGGCUCACUCUCGGUGGCUGCUUGCCGGGGCCUGGACCCCUGGGCUCUGUCGGUCCUCUGCUUGAGGUAAUAUGUCCCGGGGUCUCGGGUCUCUGGAUCCAUAGCUGGAUCAUCUCUGGUGUAGACGGCUGACGGCGAAGACCUGUGGGCUCAUCGCUGCAGCUCCCUGGGGCUUCUGCACUGUGGCUGCUGGGUGGUUCCCCUGGGACUCUCCCCUGCUCUUCUCUGUGGGGGUUGCGGUAGUCCCGACGAUGGUUCUCCUGGGGUCCCUGUGCUCUGGGGGGCCUUUGGAUGUCUAUGGCUCGGUUAUCCUCCGUAUCUGUCCCAGGUCCAGGGGGGCAUGUCUGUGGCUCCUCACACUCGCUAUUUCUUAUUUGUAUGGAGAAACCACACUCACACUCAGACCCACAGGUGAUUAGAUUUUGGUGUUAACAGAUACACACAUUUUCUAUAUUGGGCCAGAAUUACCACUAAUUACAUCUUGCAUUCAUAUCGUGCACAUUUCGUUAAAAAAGCUGUUAUUAUGUAGGUUUCUGUAGGUGUAGAAGCAAGCACGGUGAUAUUGUCACGAUGCGUGUGUGUGUGUGUGUGUGUGUGUGUGUGUGAGUCUCUGCUUCUCUUGAGGAGAUCUGCUGGUGGGCGUGGCGCACAGCUGAAAGCUGCACACCUGCAAACAAUCUUCGGCUGUAGUGUUUAAAAGGAGUUGCUGGACGAGCAUUCUUCGCCCACGUUGGCGGUCUGGAAGCUGACUGAAUCCCAGAUUUCUCCUGCCAACUGCCUGAUGACUGUGUUCAUAUCGGUAAAACUACCCACCAGCCAAUUUGCCGAUGCACUCUCCGAUGCACCUACAGAUUCGCAAAACCAGACUUCCCCCUGGAUAAAUCCCUCCAACAAGGCUCACCACCAGGAUCGCUACUCCACCUCAGAGGCGUUGUCCCACACAUCUGCACCAGGACCAGAUCCCCUCUUCCCGUUCCCCAGAGAUUUUUUUUUUCCCCCACCGUGUAAAUAAAUCUUUAAGAAAAC